AUGUACCCAAUUGCUUGGGCAAUAGUAGAGCAAGAAACAACAAAAAGUUGGGAAUGGUUUAUUGGACUUCUUAUCAAAGACUUGGACAUAAACAAUCAAGGUGAAGGCUGGGUGUUCAUUUCUGAUCAACAAAAGGUAAUUUAUGAUCUUUAUGACCAUGUUGUUAAUUAUUGUUGUUUGGUCGCCUCGACGGAGCACGACCUAGUCUACUUAUUUUAUAGCAUACUUUAG
rnacentral:rRNA from 1 species